rnacentral:rRNA from 1 species
UACGUAGGGUGCGAGCGUUAAUCGGAAUUACUGGGCGUAAAGCGUGCGCAGGCGGUCUCGUAAGCUGGGUGUGAAAGCCCCGGGCUUAACCUGGGAAUGGCAUUCAGGACUGCGAGGCUCGAGUGUGGCAGAGGGAGUGGAAUUCCACGUGUAGCAGUGAAAUGCGUAGAGAUGUGGAGGAACACCGAUGGCGAAGGCAGCCUCCUGGGCCAGCACUGACGCUCAGUGCACGAAAGCGUGGGGAGCAAACAGGA